rnacentral:rRNA from 1 species
GUUGAUCCUGCUCAGGCAAGCUGCGGCGUGCCUAAUACAUGCAAAGUCGAACGGUAGAUAUUCGCUGAUGAGUACUUCGGUAAUGAAUCUUGGAGUAUCGUUUAGUGGCGGACGGGUGAGUAACGCGUGAGCAACCUGCCUUUCAGAGGGGGAUAACGUUUGGAACGAACGCUAAUACCGCAUGACAUUAUCUUAUCGCAUGGUAGGAUAAUCAAAGGAGCAAUCCGCUGAAAGAUGGGCUCGCGUCCGAUUAGGUAGUUGGUGGGGUAACGGCCCACCAAGCCGACGAUCGGUAGCCGGACUGAGAGGUUGGACGGCCACAUUGGGACUGAGACACGGCCCAGACUCCUACGGGAGGCAGCAGUAAGGGAUAUUGGUCAAUGGGGGAAACCCUGAACCAGCAACGCCGCGUGAGGGGAGACGGUUUUCGGAUUGUAAACCUCUGUCCUCUGUGAAGAUGAUGACGGUAGCAGAGGAGGAAGCUCCGGCUAACUACGUG